rnacentral:rRNA from 1 species
ACACGACUACAUUAGAUACCCCUGUAGUCCUAGCCGUAAACGAUACUCGCUAGGUGUCGGCCACGGUGCGACCGUUGUCGGUGCCGUAGGGAAGCCGUGAAGCGAGCCACCUGGGAAGUACGGCCGCAAGGCUGAAACUUAAAGGAAUUGGCGGGGGAGCACCACAACGGGUGGAGCUUGUGGUUUAAUUGGAUUCAACGCCGGAAAUCUUACCGGGACCGACAGCAACAUGAAGGCCAGGCUGAAGACUUUGCCGGAUUAGCUG